UUCCGGACAACAAGAGGCAUCAACAUGGCUGUCCCAACCGGGAGAUCUGUGGUCUCCGUGACUGGAAACGCAAAUAAACUAGAAGAGGUAGCAGAAUGGUUCACAAGAACCGACAUUCCAUUGUGAACAUUAAACGUUGCAGCGUGUGCUGUUUAUUAGAGGCUUUACUUUGGCUCUAGCCAUGGCAGCCAACCCAUGUGAAUGCAUGGAAAUGACUGACGGGGAAUGUGAUGGUGGUUUUAGAUUACACUUGCACAGAUCAAAUGGUUUGAUAGCUGUUAUUAGCCGAUAAAAUAGAUUACGGUUCACCACCUAGAUUACGGAGACAUCAUUUAUAGAUCGACAGGGGAUUCAGAUCCUGGGGGACAAGUUUCCCUACAAACUAGUGUCCAAGAAGAUUGACUGAUCAUCUGGUUCUCAUGAUGAACAGCCUUAAGAUGCCUUUGGGCAUCGGCCCAGGUCAGUUUAAGAUGCUGGCUGGGUUUGAGGAUAAGUCGGCCUGGGCUCUGUGUACCUUUGCCUUCUGUCCAGGAAAAGAGGAACCGGUACAACUCUUCAGAGGGAUAACUGAGUUAUGCUGAGCUACCCAAGGAGGUGAAGAACACCAUUUCCCAUCGGUAUCAAGCUCUGGCAGCCAUGUCUGAACACUUCUCCUCUCAGGACAAUGGCACACCAGACAGCAAGAAGAAGAUAUGGCUAUUAACCCCUGAUCAGAUCACAUAACCAUUAGAGGGAUACAAAAUCUGACCCUGUAUCAGUGGUGGGGCAACUUCUACCUACUCUGACUUAUGGGUAUCAGAGUCUGAGCCAAUCAAACAGUUCUGAUGUUGAAUUGAGAUAGUGGUGCUUUUGAUACAGUGCCUUCAAAAAGUAUUCACACCCCUUGACUUUUUCCACAGUUUGAUGUGUUACACAUGGGAUUAAAAUUGAAAAAGAAUUGUCAACGAUCUACACAAAAUACUCUACAAUGUCUAAGUUGAAUUUAAAAAAAAAUCUAUUUCUAAAACACAAAACACUAUCUUGAUUCGAUAAGUAUUCAACCCCCUGAGUCAAUACAUGUUAUAAUCACCUUUGGCAGUGAUUACAACUGUGAGUCUUUCUGGGUAUGUUUCGAAGAGCUUUGCACACCUGGAUUGUACAAUAUAUGCAAAUUAGUAUAUCAAAAAAAUCAAGCUCUGUCAAGUUGUUAGUUGAUCAUUACAACACAGCCAUUUAAGUCUUGCCAUAGUUUUAAGUCAAAACUGUAACUAGGUCACUCAUUAAAUGUUGUCUUGGUAAGCAACUCCAGCAUAUAAUUGGCCUUGUGUUUUAGAUUAUUGUCCUGAAAAUAUGUAGAAUGGUGCUGUUGUGUUGGAUUUGCCCCAAACAACACUUUGUUUUCAGGACAUAAAGUUAAUUUCUUUGGUACAUUUUUUUGCAGUUUUACGUUAGUGCCUUAUUGCAAAAAGGAUGCAUGUUUAGGAAUAAAAAAAAUUGGACUGGCUUUCUUCUUUUCACUCUGUCAUUUAGUUUAGUAUUGUGAAGUAACUACAAUUUCUUUGAUCCAUCCUCAGUUUUCUGCUAUCACAGCCUCAUUGUGAAAUCCCUGAGCAGUUUCCUUCCUCUCAGGCAACUGAGUUAGGAAGGACGCCUGUAUUUUUGUAGUGAUUGGGUGAUUGAUACACCAUCCAAAGUGUAAUUAAUAACUUCUCCAUGCUCAAAGGGAUGUUAAAUAUCUACUUUUUAAUAUGUACCCACCUACCAAUAGGUGCCCUUUGCGAGGCAUUGGAAAACCUUGCUGGUCUUUGUGUUUCAAUCUGUUUUUGAAAUUCACUGCUUGACUGAGAGACCUUAAAAUUAUCUUGAUGUGUGGUGUGCAGAGAUGAGUUAGUCAGUCAUGUUAAAUACAAUUAUUGCAUCUGUGCAACUUAUGUGACUUGUUAAGCAUAUUUUUUACUCUUGAACUUAUUUAGGCUUGCCAUAACAAAGGGGUGGAAUACAAUAUUGACUCAAGACAUUUCAGCUUUUAAUUUGUACAAAUUUCAAAAUAAUCUAAUUCCACUUUGACAUUAUGGAGUCUUGUGUGUAGGCCACUGACACAAAAUCUAAAUUGAAUCGAUUUUAAAUUCAGGCUGUAACACAACAAAAUGUGGGGGAAAGUGAAGGGGUUUGAAUACUUUCUGAAGGCACUCUAUAUGCUUUCCUUAAACUGGAAGAACUCAAGAUGUAUUGUGUCCUUUGUCCAACCUGGAUUAUGUGGGUUUAGAACCAAGACUUUUGCUUUCUAAAGUGCAGACUCCAAACCAGGACUAUACUCAUACUGUAUGUGUGAUGUGUUACUGAGGCAGGUUCUGUGGGUGUGUAUGGAGUGCCCCAAGAGAAGUGUAUAAUAAACCAUAAACAUUCUGCCA